UACGGAGGGUGCGAGCGUUGUCCGGAAUCAUUGGGCGUAAAGGGCGCGUAGGUGGCCCGGUCAGUUCGUGGUGAAAGCGCGGGGCUCAACCCUGCGUCGGCCAUGAAUACUGCCGCGGCUGGAGCACUGUAGAGGCAGGCGGAAUUCCGGGUGUAGCGGUGGGAAUGCGUAGAGAUCCGGAAGAACACCGGUGGCGAAGGCGGCCUGCUGGGCAGUUGCUGGACACUGGAGGCGCGACAGCGUGGGGAGCA
rnacentral:rRNA from 1 species